rnacentral:rRNA from 1 species
AACGUAGGUUCCGAGCGUUGUCCGGAUUCAUUGGGCGUAAAGAGCGUGUAGGCGGCCAGGUAGGUCGGUUGUGAAAACUGGAGGCUCAACCUUCAGAGGUCGACCGAAACCAUCUGGCUAGAGUCCGGGAGAGGAGAGUGGAAUUCCUGGUGUAGCGGUGAAAUGCGCAGAUAUCAGGAAGAACACCUAUGGCGAAAGCAGCUCUCUGGGACGGUACUGACGCUGAGACGCGAAAGCGUGGGGAGCGAACAGG